GUAAGAGCUAGCUAAUCUUUGUUACGGAUAGUUAGUGAAAUUCAAAACCAGUUAUUUUCUGUUAUUCCAACUAGCUAGCUUGUAUUAGCCUUAGUGGCUGUUUAUGGUGUCCAUGGAACAGCUGUUGCUCUCCCAAAAAUAGCUGCAUCUUUUAUGGGCACUUACACUGCACUUUGACUGUAUAAACGUAUUUGAUGAAUUUGGAGCUUUAAAAUGGAGGUGGCAUGAUGUCGUCAGACAGGGAUAAAGGGACAGUGUACGACAGCUUCCAGCUCAUGAACCAAUGGGAGAACAGAGCUAAGCAGUUCAGUCAGAAGGGACAACUGGAAAAGGAGAGACAAGGAAAGAGUGCCUUGAAUGGG
rnacentral:lncRNA from 1 species